GGUUAAGCGACUAAGCGUACACGGUGGAUGCCCUGGCAGUCAGAGGCGAUGAAGGACGUGCUAAUCUGCGAUAAGCGUCGGUAAGGUGAUAUGAACCGUUAUAACCGGCGAUUUCCGAAUGGGGAAACCCAGUGUGUUUCGACACACUAUCAUUAACUGAAUCCAUAGGUUAAUGAGGCGAACCGGGG
rnacentral:rRNA from 1 species